GCCCAGGUGGUGAAAUUGGUAGACACGUCAGUCUUAGGAACUGAUGCCGCAAGGCUUGGAGGUUCAAGUCCUCUCCUGGGCA
rnacentral:tRNA from 1 species